UGAGCCAGCACUGGUCUUGUGCAUGCUGUCUCUAUUGCUGUGAAAUCAUAUGUGCAGCCGUUCUGUGUCUAGAAUGUCCUGUUUCUUGUCACUCUUAUGCUGACUCUUACAGUCUCUCCAAACCCUCUUCUACAAUGAACCCUGAGCCUUUGGAGGAAGGGGGUAUGACAUAGAUACAGGGCUGAGCCUUCUACAGUCUCUUAUCCUCUGCAUCUUGAUCAGUUGUGGGUUUUCCGUGUGAAUUACCACCUACUGGAAAAAGCCUCUCUUAUGAGAGUUGAUGGAUGCACUAAUCUAUGGCUGUAACAGUAACCCGUUAGGAGUUAGUUUAAUACAGUAAUGGAUCCUCCCUUUGUAAUGUGUCCACACACAGGUCCCUUGGUCCUGAUAAAAAGGGAAGAUGGGCGGUUAAUCCCAAGACAUUCACACCACUAUUAUAGCAGUGGCAUUGUAACUGUCUUCCAGGCUGGCUGUUGCUAUAGUUCUCAGGGCUCACAGCUGGGCAAGAUUGGUGACUUCGGGGCAGGAGUGGUGGCUUUUAACCCUGGGGCACUCUGGAGACAGAGGCUGGUAGAUAUCUGAGUUCAAGGCUUGCCUGGUCUAUAUAGUUGAGUUCUAUGCCAGCCAGGACUACACAGUGAGGCUCUGUCUCAAAAAACAAAAACAAACAAACAAACAAACCAACCAAGCAAACAAAAAACAAAACCCAAAAGCCCAAAAAAUUAUUCCUUUCCAUCUCUGGUAGCAUCUUCAUGUACUGUGAAAGCUGGCCAGUAAGGAUGGCGAAGCCUCCAUGCGAGUGGCAGCUUAACUUCUCUGGGUUUUGUGACUCAAGUGUGUUGUGUCUUCAGUACUGGGCUUUCCUAUGAAGUACAAGAGUGUAACUGAGAACAUUGGUAAUAGCCUGUAAUGUUUCAAAUCGUUAUUAUUUUGUGUAUGUGCGGGAGGGUCUCACUAUAUAACCUUGGCUGGCCUGGAAUUUAGAGGUACAGUUGCCUCUGUCUCCCCAGGGGAACUGUAACAUCAAGUGAGGCGCUCCUUCAGUUUUAAUAGAUGGCUUUGCUAGGUGUAACAGUUAGGCUCUUUCAGGAUUUGGAAUACAGCUUUUCAGGCCCUUUAAAGGUCUGUAAACUAAUCAGUGGUUAUUGUGACCCACAUGGCUUUGUAAGUGACUUGACCUUCCCUCUCUUGGAGCUCCAAAGCCCUUUUUCAUAUUUUGCAUUUUUAAUAUUUUAACUAUAAUACACUGUGGAAAAUUCCUUUUCCCAUCUUACCUAUUUAGCAUCCUCAGGAAUCCUUUUCCUUAGGUUUGGGGGAUUUUCUUCUAUGAUAUCUGUGAAUAGGUUUUCUAGGCCUUCAUUAUACCUUCUUCUCCUCCCAUGCCCAGGAUUAUGCCUUUUUAUGAGGUUCCAAAACUUUUCCAUGCUGCAUGUUAUUGUUAUUAUUAAAUUUCUCUUGAUCUUCACUGAAAGAUCCAAUUCCUUUGUCUUUCAUCCCUGUCUGUUUUUGACACAAUCCAUUCUGUUCCCAUUCUGGCUUCCCACUGAGGCUGUUACAUGGUUUAUUGAAAAUUUCAUUUCUAACAUUUCCAUCUGAAUUGUCUUAAAAAAACUCAAAACUAUUUAGACUAGCUCCUUUAUUUUGUCUCUGUCUUGAGUUGUUUGACUAUAGUUACAGUCACUCUUUGGAUUAUUUAAGUUCUUCUAUGUCAUUUUCAUUAGGGGCCAUAACUGUGGGAUUUGUACAUCUGGAAUUUGUUGGGUGAGGGUUGUUUUUUAAAAGUGUAUUUAUUUUUAUG
rnacentral:lncRNA from 1 species